CAGACAUAGAGAGAACGAACAAGAGGAAAUAAAGUUAAUUUAAGUGGAGAAAGAUAUAAGAAGGCUGCCAUGUUUUGUCCUUACUGUGGCCAACAUCUGGGGACAGUUCAAGUGUUCUGUGGCUCCUGUGGCAAACAUGUACAGUUUUUGGCAGAAGUUGAACACAACAGCAUUCCAUUAGGAGGGUCAGGAACUCACGCUUGGGACCACCAGUGUCCACUCCAUCCUCAGUUUGUCCCUCAUCAUCAGUAAACUUAACCUGCAUCUGAUGAGAGCGGUCGAAUGAGGCCCCUUUGAAGCCGCGGAUUGCUCCAUCCCACACAUUGGCUCUAUUAAUAUUGAACCUGCUGCAAGAGUUUGCUCCGUUUCCUCUUCUGGCUCAGACUGGCUGUCAAUAAUGAUAAGUGCAUACACAGUUGUGUAGUUGCUGCAGUGAGAAGACAGUUGAAUAAUUACUUUCAAAUACAUAAUAUAUGCAUGACAGUCAUAUUUGCAAAAGGAUGUCGAUCCUCUUCCUGUUUUUUUUUUAAUACAUUGGGUUCUAAACUGACAACAGCAAUUUGUCAUACUCCUGCACAAACCUUGUAAACAUUUGAAAUGGAUGCAACAAACAAUAUCUGACCUUUGAAAAAUAUUUGUGGGUGUUUUUUGUAUCGUCUUCACUAAGAUGUCAGAUGUUGUGGGUGUCCUUUAGAAAUGUAUGAAAGUAUAAUUGUUCUGCUUCCUGGCAAUAUUACCCACUGUGAUUGGAGGCUAUGCAAACAACCAAAUAUACAAAUAAAAAUACAUACCAAACAA